rnacentral:rRNA from 1 species
AACGAACGCUGGCGGCAUGCCUAACACAUGCAAGUCGAACGAGACCUUCGGGUCUAGUGGCGCACGGGUGCGUAACGCGUGGGAAUCUGCCCUUGGGUUCGGAAUAACUCGCCGAAAGGCGUGCUAAUACCGGAUGAUGUCGUAAGUCCAAAGAUUUAUCGCCCAAGGAUGAGCCCGCGUUGGAUUAGCUAGUUGGUGAGGUAAAGGCCCACCAAGGCGACGAUCCAUAGCUGGUCUGAGAGGAUGAUCAGCCACACUGGGACUGAGACACGGCCCAGACUCCUACGGGAGGCAGCAGUGGGGAAUAUUGGACAAUGGGCGAAAGCCUGAUCCAGCAAUGCCGCGUGAGUGAUGAAGGCCUUAGGGUUGUAAAGCUCUUUUACCCGGGAUGAUAAUGACCGUACCGGGAGAAUAAGCUCCGGCUAACUCCGUG